AGAGUUUGAUUCUGGCUCAGGAUAAAUGCUGGCGGCGUGCUUAACACAUGCAAGUCGAACGGACCUUUAUUACUGAAGCUUCGGCAGAUGUAAUAAAUAAGUAGUGGCGAACGGGUGAGUAAUGCAUAAAUAAUUUACCCUUAAGUUUGGGAUAACUCUUCGAAAGGAGAGCUAAUACCGAAUAAUCUAUUUUGUUUACUGAUAAAAUAGCAAAGUUCCGGCGCUUAAGGAUGAGUUUAUGUCUGAUUAGCUUGUUGGUAGGGUAAGAGCCUACCAAGGCUUCGAUCAGUAGCCGGCCUGAGAGGGUGUACGGCCACACCGGGACUGAGACACGGCCCAGACUCCUACGGGAGGCAGCAGUGAGGAAUAUUGCGCAAUGGGGGCAACCCUGACGCAGCAACGCCGCGUGAGCGAUGAAGUCUUUCGGGAUGUAAAGCUCUGUCAAGUGGAACGAUUAUGACGGUACCACUAGAGGAAGCACCGGCUAACUACGUGCCAGCAGCCGCGGUAAUACGUAGGGUGCAAGCAUUAUCCGGAAUUAUUGGGCGUAAAGCGCAUGUAGGUUGUAGAUUAAGUCAGAAGUGAAAUCCUUCAGCUCAACUGAAGUCAGCUUUUGAUACUGAUCUACUUGAGGUAAGGAGAGGGAAGCGGAACUCACGGUGUAGCGGUGGAAUGCGUAGAUAUCGUGAGGAACAUCAUUGGCGAAGGCGGCUUCCUGGACUUAUUCUGACACUGAAAUGCGAAAGCAUGGGGAGCGAACGGGAUUAGAUACCCCAGUAGUCCAUGCCGUAAACGUUGUUCACUAGGUGAUGGAGGUAUCGACCCCUUCAGUACCACAGAUAACUCGUUAAGUGAACCGCCUGGGGAGUACGACCGCAAGGUUAAAACUCAAAGAAAUUGACGGGGGCCCGCACAAGCAGUGGAGCAUGUGGUUUAAUUCGACGAUACACGAAGAACCUUACCAGGGUUUGACAUCUACAGAAGUCACUGGAAACAGAGAUGUGCCCGCAAGGGAACUGUAAGACAGGUGGUGCAUGGCUGUCGUCAGCUCGUGUCGUGAGAUGUUGGGUUAAGUCCCGCAACGAGCGCAACCCUCAUUUUGUGUUGCCAUCAAUUCGGUUGGGAACUCACAAAAAACUGCCUGUGGAAAGCAGGAGGAAGGUGAGGAUUACGUCAAGUCAUCAUGCCCCUUAUACCCUGGGCUACACACAUGCUACAAUGGCCGAUACAAAUGGUUGCCAAGCCGCGAGGUGGAGCUAAUCCAAUAAAAUCGGUCUCAGUUCGGAUUGUAGGCUGAAACUCGCCUACAUGAAGUUGGAAUUGCUAGUAAACGCAGAUCAGCUAUGCUGCGUUGAAUACGUUCCCGGGCCUUGUACACACCGCCCGUCACACCAUGAGAGUUGGAAACACCCGAAAUCAAUAAGCUAACCGCAAGGAGGCAGUUGCCUAAGGUGGAAUCAGCGAUUGGGGUGAAGUCGUAACAAGGUA
rnacentral:rRNA from 1 species